AUUGAACGCUGGCGGCAGGCCUAACACAUGCAAGUCGAACGAGUGGCGGACGGGUGAGUAAUGUCUGGGAAACUUCCUGAUGGAGGGGGAUAACUACUGGAAACGGUAGCUAAUACCGCAUACCAUCGGAUGUGCCCAGAUGGGAUUAGCUAGUAGGUGGGGAAACGGCUCACCUAGGCGACGAUCCCUAGCUGGUCUGCGAGGAUGCCCAGCAACACGGGAACUGAGACACGGUCCAGACUCCUACGGUAGGCAGCAUGGGGGAAUAUUGCACAAUGGGAGCAAGCCUGAGGCAGCCAUGCCGCGUGUAUGAAGAAGGCCGUCGGGUUGUAAAGUACUUUCAGCGGGGAGGCGUUACCCGCAGAAGAAGCACCGGCUAACUCCGUGCCAGCCGCCGCGGUAAUAC
rnacentral:rRNA from 1 species